GUGUCAGCAGCCGCGGUAAAACGUAGGUACCGAGCGUUAUCCGGAUUUACUGGGCGUAAAGCGCGUUCAGGCGGCUCAGCAAGUCGGGCAUGAAAUCUCUCGGCUCAACCGGGAGGGGCUGUCCGAAACUGCUGGGCUUGAGGGCAGUAGAGGGUGGUGGAAUUCCGGGUGUAGUGGUGAAAUGCGUAGAUAUCCGGAGGAACACCAGUGGCGAAAGCGGCCACCUGGACUGUACCUGACGCUCAAACGCGAAAGCUAGGGGAGCGAACGGGAUUAGAAACCCCCGUAGUCC
rnacentral:rRNA from 1 species